AUUGAACGCUGGCGGCACGCCUUACACAUGCAAGUCGAACGGUAACAGGUCUUCGGAUGCUGACGAGUGGCGAACGGGUGAGUAAUACAUCGGAACGUGCCCGAGAGUGGGGGAUAACGAGGCGAAAGCUUUGCUAAUACCGCAUACGAUCUCAGGAUGAAAGCAGGGGACCGCAAGGCCUUGCGCUCACGGAGCGGCCGAUGGCAGAUUAGGUAGUUGGUGGGAUAAAAGCUUACCAAGCCGACGAUCUGUAGCUGGUCUGAGAGGACGACCAGCCACACUGGGACUGAGAAACGGACCAGACUCGGACGGGGGGCGGCAGUGGGGAAUUAUGGACAAUGGGCGCAAGCCUGAUCCAGCCAAGCCGCGUGCAGGAUGAAGGCCUUCGGGUUGUAAACUGCUUUUGUACGGAACGAAAAGACUCUGGUUAAUACCUGGGGUCCAUGACGGUACCGUAAGAAUAAGCACCGGCUAACUACGUGCCAGCCGCCGCAGUAAGAC
rnacentral:rRNA from 1 species